CUUUCUUGUUUUAACAGAUAAAUGAGUUUGUUAAACUUGGUGGAGAUCAGCUUGUUCCAUAUUAUGCUGACAUUCUUGGAGCCAUUUUGCCGUGCAUAUCUGAUAAAGAAGAGAAAAUUAGAGUGGUUGCUCGUGAAACCAAUGAAGAGCUACGUGGAAUCAAGGCUGAUCCAGCUGACGCAUUUGAUGUAGGAGCAAUCCUGUCCAUUGCUAGGAGGCAACUAUCUAGUGAAUGGGAGGCUACUCGAAUUGAAGCUUUGCACUGGAUGUCGACCCUUUUAUCCAGACACCGUAGUGAGGUUUUGAUAUUUCUGAAUGACAUAUUUGAUACCCUACUCAAAGCACUUUCAGAUUCUUCUGAUAAGGUAGCGU